UACGUAGGGGGCAAGCGUUGUCCGGAAUCAUUGGCGUAAAGAGCGUGUAGGCGGCUCGAUAAGUCUGCUGUGAAAGUCCAAGGGCUCAACCCUGGAAGGCCGGUGGAAACUGUCGGGCUAGAGUCCGGAAGAGGCGAGUGGAAUUCCCGGUGUAGCGGUGAAAUGCGCAGAUAUCGGGAGGAACACCAGUAGCGAAGGCGGCUCGCUGGGCCAUUCCUGACGCUGAGACGCGAAAGCUAGGGGAGCGAACAGG
rnacentral:rRNA from 1 species